UGGGGAAUAUUGCACAAUGGGGGAAACCCUGAUGCAGCGACGCCGCGUGAGUGAAGAAGUAUUUCGGUAUGUAAAACUCUAUCAGCAGGGAAGAUAAUGACGGUACCUGACUAAGAAGCCCUGGCUAACUACGUGCC
rnacentral:rRNA from 1 species